UGCUCACAGUGACUGAUGGAAUUUCUUCUCUUGCCAGAUAUGAUGUCAAGUCACUGAAAAGCAGACAUAUGCUACAGAGAACUGAUUCAUUAUUAGGUCAGCAAGAUUACCCAAGACAACUCCAAAGCUGCUAAACUGUGGAGCCUGGGGGAGCCUAGACCUUCAGAAAGAGUCUUGUGUUCUACAAUUCAAUACUUCCCAGUACGCACUCAGGACAAGAACAUGGCUGAACCAAGCACGCUCCCAAAGAGUUAAUAUUAGAAGUUGUAGCAAUCUCCCUUCCGUGGUUUGGCUUUCUGCAGUUUCAAUUACCUGAGGUCAACCACAGUCCAAAAAUAU
rnacentral:lncRNA from 1 species